UUCCAUAUCCCUCCACAUUCAGCAUUCCUGUGAGGACUUGCCUGGAUGUGGUAGCCAAGGCAGCUUUAAUUGACUGAGGUCCAGACAUAGGAAGGAUGGGGGAGUCAUGUACUCAGGAAAACAGAUUCCCCAGAAUCUGACAGGACAUCCUCUCUCCUAUUUCCUGUGAGUUAUGCCUUCCCAAGCCACUGACUCAUUUCUUGACAUGGAGAUGUAAACCCCGCGAGCAGCAUCCUUCUGUCUGAGUAGGUGUGACUAAAUUUACGAUGACAGCACGCGUGUACAAAGCAGGUAGAUUGCUGAAGGUGGUGUGUUGACAAACACAGCCAAGGCUGCUGCGCCCCUGAGUUUCCUGCUGAGUUGGAGAACCAGGAAAGGAAUGAGUUGACCUCUCUGCUGGAUCCCAUGGGGCUUCCUGUGCUGUUUUUGGAUGGUCCUUUAUCAAGGCAAACAUCACUGGUAGGAAUCCUGGUUUAUACACCAUGUCAACAAAGUGGAAUUGGAGAAUACCAGUUCAGAGGGAUCUGUGUCCUCUGGAGUCUCCCAGACCCAUCAUAACAUGCGGUACGCUGCAGAAGAAGAGAUGUCACUGAAACGUGUGUUUGGAUGAAAGAGAAGAGCUAGAGUAAGAUAUACAGUUUUGCAGAAUAACAUAUGGUGCAUUGUGCAGGAGAUGUGUGAAAGCAACAGCUGCAGUAAAUUUUGCGUUUACAUCAUGAGGACUUCAAGAGUUUGGAGAGAAGCUGACUGAUGGAUAAAAGUGAGGCAAAGAACGCACUGUUGCCAGAAUGAGUACAAAGAUACUAGCCAGACCCUGGACAUGCUUUCUCUGAUGAUCUGGACUCUCUCCCCCUUUCUCGGAAGCUCCUACCUCCUUGCCAUGACACUGCUUACACACCAUAUAAAUGCUUGAUGACAUCUAUACCUACCUAAAAAAGCAUGCUUUCUCUUCUCUAUCUUAUUCGCUAGGAAGUCACCAAGAUUUACAGCUUGCCCUAUUGCUUUUCUUUUAAAUACUAAUAAAAAAGCUUUCAAACUUC